GCUCCCAUCGUCUAGUGGCCUAGGACACAGCCCUCUCAAGGCUGGUACAGGGGUUCGAAUCCCCUUGGGAGCG
rnacentral:tRNA from 1 species